rnacentral:rRNA from 1 species
GACGAACGCUGGCGGCGUGCUUAACACAUGCAAGUCGAACGGAAAGGCGCUGCUUUUGUGGGGUGCUCGAGUGGCGAACGCGUGAGUAACACGCGAGUAUCCUGCCCUUGACUGUGGGAUAACUUCAGGGAACUGGGGCUAAUACCGGAUAGGAUCUCCUGCAGCAUGGGGUGGGUUGGAAAGUUUCGGUGGUUGGGGAUCGACUCGCGGCUUAUCAGCUGGUUUGUGUGGUAGUGGCGGACCAAGGGUUUGACGGAUAGCCCGCCUGAGAGGGUGGCCGGGGACAAUGGGACUACGAGACGGACCAGACGCGUACGGGAGGCAGCAGUGGAGAGUAUGGCACAAUGGGCCGGAGCCAGAUAUAACGACGCCGCGAGCGUGAUGCCGGCCUUCGGGUUGUGAACCGCUUUCGACUGUAACGAAGCCUGAGUGACGGUACUGGGUAAAGAAGCACCGGCUAACUACGUG